rfam:Luteimonas sp. FCS-9 scf7180000000228, whole genome shotgun sequence.
AAGCGGGGACGACCCCGCCGCUCCAUCCACAUCCGGGGACGGCCCCA